UACAGAGGGGGGCAAGCGUUGUUCGGAAUUACUGGGCGUAAAGCGUGCGUAGGCGGUGGUCCAAGCCUGGUGUGAAAUCUCCCGGCUCAACUGGGAGGGUGCGCCGGAAACUGGGCCGCUGGAGUACGGGAGAGGCAAGCGGAAUUCCAGGUGUAGCGGUGAAAUGCGUAGAUAUCUGGAGGAACACCCGUGGUGCAGACGGCUUGCUGGACCGUGACUGACGCUGAGGCACGAAAAGCGUGGGGGAGCGAACAGG
rnacentral:rRNA from 1 species